rnacentral:rRNA from 1 species
UACAGAGGUCUCAAGCGUUGUCCGGAUUUAUUGGGCGUAAAGAGCGUGUAGGCGGCCAGACAGGUCAGCUGUGAAAACUCGAGGCUCAACCUCGAGACGUCGGUUGAAACCGUCUGGCUAGAGUCCGGAAGAGGAGAGUGGAAUUCCCGGUGUAGCGGUGAAAUGCGCAGAUAUCGGGAAGAACACCCGUGGCGAAGGCGGCUCUCUGGGACGGUACUGACGCUGAGACGCGAAAGCGUGGGGAGCAAACGGG